GCGUAUCGUAAGGUCUAACUCUCUUAACUUUACCAUUCAUUCUCUAUGGUAGUUCUUACACUGUGACUGCAAUAUAUUUCUGGCCACAAGCGAGAAAUUGGGGGCGCUGUUGCGCCCUUUUGGUAGAGGUAAGGAGACCCCGUUUCCAGUGACAGAGAGUGAGAGACGGAGCAACAGCAGCAGCAUCUUACAGAUAAAGACGACAUUAGCGACACAAUUCCACUUCUAACAUCACGUCAAACUUAUCAAACGAGAUAAUGAAGAAAACCAUAUUCUUCCCAGGAAAGAUGAGAGUGUCUUUCAGGAAGGGUCCAUCUGGCCACCUGAGACAGGACCCUUCAGAGGAGGGUAUGAGAAUACAAAAAAAUCCUUCCCUUCAGGACAAGUCUGCCGCUCAGAAGCAUGAGCAUGUGAGGACAAAUGCUCUCACUGAGGUCCUUCAGAGGGGAGGGGAUGUAUCCGACCGACUCGAGGGCCACCAGCAGCAGUCUCCAGAGCCCCGGCUGUCUCUACACCAACAGGUUUCUCUCCAGCAGUGUGGAGGGAUAACUUGGCCGUGUUCUGGUCUGUUCUGAUGCUUGUGUUAUUCUGUUCUCCAACUAACUGAAGGGAUUAACAUGUCAGCAAUGAUGCCCACAGGACUUAUCCAACUGCCACUGUGUCCAGACCCGAUGGACCUGCUCCUCUGAAAGCCACAGUGAAGGCACCGCUGCCGGUCCCUCCUCAGCUGCUCGCCAUUGCCCCAAAGCUCGGGAUAGAAGAGCAGGCGCCAAAUGUGUUGAGACAAAAUUCAUCACCACAUAAUAUGGCCCCUGUGGAAGCGCAGGGAGACACUGUCCUCGAUGAAGCUCUGACUUGCCCAGGGAAGUAUAUCUACUGCCCCUCCAGAGGCUUCUCCUUAUAUAAUGCACAGGGCAUGGAGAAGGAGAUGACGUGGCCGGAGUUCCAGCAGUCGGACUUCUAUGAUGUUGAAAGGGACAGAUGGAUUGCAGACAAAAGGAAGCCCUAACCUACCCUCACAUACACACAGGCACGCGCCACUUCCUGGGUCUACUAAGUUGCAUACUAACUUAACAUACAAACUACAGUAAGACGUUUUGCCUGCAACAAAAGCGAGACCCCUAAACUAUCAGCCUUUUCACCAGUCCUGACAAUCCUGCCGAUAACAAAACAGUUUUGGUUAAUGCCCUCAAAAAACUCUAUUCAUAAUAAAGAAUAAUAAUCAUUUCAGGGAUUUCUAUAGGUCCUCCACUCCAACCUUGUCGGUGCUGGGGCCUGCACUAGAAUAUUAUAUACUAUACUAGAAUAAAUAUAAUUAUUGCACUAGAAUAAAUAAAAAAACAAAUACCAAGUAAGAGGGUAUAAAUCACUAAAAUGAGAAUAGAAUGCAGAAUAUAAACCAUACAAGAACAUGAGGUGAAAAACAUUUCAGAUAAUGGAUGGUGGUGAGAUCAAAUACAUCUAUAACAAAACAAUACACCAUCUUCUGCUAAAUUAUAAUAUUAUAAUAAAUAUUAAGGUGCAAUACAACAUAUCAUAUAGUCCAAAAAUACAAAGAAUAUAAUAUAGUUCAAUCCUUUUUUCAGGAUCUGAUUGUUCUCUCUGUAUUGUGUUUUCAGUGUUUUUUAUAUAUUUGUAGUUCUAUUUGUAUUAUUUCCUAUAUUUGAUGUUU